rnacentral:ncRNA from 1 species
ACAAAGAGGUUGCGACCAAAAUCAGUCGCACUGGAGAGUCUCCCCAAGACGAAGACCCAGUGUUAAAGGUGCGGUUGCCGAAAGUCGCGUAUCGGGGGAUACGCUGCUUGGGACUUCGGGAAAUACCCGUUGGACUGUCGUUUUUUAAACGGUGCGCUUUG